rnacentral:rRNA from 1 species
UACAGAGGGUGCGAGCGUUAAUCGGAAUUACUGGGCGUAAAGCGCGCGCAGGUGGUUCACUAAGCCCGGCGUGAAAGCCCCCGGCUCAACCGGGGAGGGUCGUCGGGGACUGGUGAACUUGAGGGCGGCAGGGGCUGGUGGAAUCCCCGGUGUAGUGGUGAAAUGCGUAGAUAUCUGGAGGAACACCGGUGGCGAAAGCGGCAUCCUGGACCGGCAUUGACGCUGAGGCGCGAAAGCGUGGGGAGCAAACAGG